rnacentral:rRNA from 1 species
AGCUCCAAUAGCGUAUAUUAAAGUUGUUGCGGUUAAAAAGCUCGUAGUUGGAUUUCUGUCGAGGACGUCCGGUCCAUCUUUCGGGUGAGUAUCUGGUACGGCCUUGGCAUCCUCUUGGAGAACUAUGCUGCACUUGACUGUGUGGUUAGGGAUUCAAGACUUUUACUUUGAGGAAAUUAGAGUGUUCACGGCAGGCAAACGUCUGAAUACAUUAGCAUGGAAUAAUAAUAUAGGACCUUGGUUCUAUUUUGUUGGUUUCUAGGACUAAGGUAAUGAUUAAUAGGGAUAAUUGGGGGCAUUCGUAUUAACGCGUCAGAGGUGGAAUUCUUGGAUUGCGUUACGACGAACUACUGCGAAAGCAUUUGCCAAGGAUGUUUUCA